CCCAAAAAUAAACGUACCCAGUUCGGACUGUAGUCUGCAACCCGACUACACGAAGCUGGAAUCGCUAGUAAUCGCGAAUCAGAAUGUCGCGGUGAAUACGUUCCCGGGUCUUGUACACACCGCCCGUCACACCAUGGGAGUUGGGAAUGCCCGAAGUCAGUGACCCAACCGAAAGGAGGGAGCUGCCGAAGGCAGAUUCGAUAACUGGGGUGAAGUCGUAACAAGGUACC
rnacentral:rRNA from 1 species